GGAAGGAUCAUUACCACAUCCAAAAUAACAUUUCCGUGAACAUAAAAAAACUGUUUGCAAUGGUGACAAAGAUAACUCGAGUAAAGAAAGUGGCUGUAAAAACCUGCAUUCUGAGUUAGACUUUGUGUGCAUUGCCUAAACAAACCCAAUUUACUCCAUUUUUUUACAAGUUAUAAUAAAACAUAACUUCAAACAACGGAUAUCUUGGUUCUCGUAACGAUGAAGACCGAAGCGAAUUUCGAUAUUUAAUGCGAAUUGCUGAAUUAGCGAAUCAUCAAACUGUUGAACGCACAUUGCACUUCUUCUAAAGAGAAGUAUCUUUGUUUGAGUGUGUGUUGUCUCUCCUCGCUUUAAGCGGCUUGUGAGGUUUAUUCUUGUUGUGCAAACAACUAGUGCCUUGAAGACAACCGAUUUUCGGAACAUGUUCUUGUACGCUUCAUUGCGCUUUCAAGAUAUGUUUUAAUGGUCUUGCAAAAGAACUUUAGAACGUAAAUGUCAUGAAAGUUGCAUGUACAAAGCAACAUACUACAAUAUCACACCUCAAAUCAAAGAAGGCUACCGGCUGGACUGAAGCAUCUUAUUAAGCCGAGGAAAAGAAACUAACAAGGAUUCCCUCAGUAACGGCGAGUGAACAGGGAAAAGCUCAUCAUUAAAAUCUCCCUCAAAAAGAGAAUUGUAGUCUGAUGGUGCUUUGGCAAGAGCAGAAUGGAAGGCAAGUGUUGUUGGAAAGCGCCGCCAUGGAGAGUGAUAGCCUCGUCCCCUUCUGUUUUGUUCUGUACGCCAAUGUGACCAAAGAGUCGAGUUGUUUGGGAUUGCAGCUCUAAGCGGGUGGUAAGUUCCAUCUAAAGCUAAAUACGGACGAGAGACCGAUAGCGAACAAGUACCGUGAGGGAAAGAUGAAAAGGACCCUGAAGAGGGAGUCAAAAGAACUUGAAAUUGUUUGAAGGGUAACCGUUUUUGAGCAGUGUGGGGGAAGGUUGUCAAUGCGUUUCGCAAGGAACGUGUUUCGCAGCUUUCAUAUCCCAGUUCGUGUGAAUUUUGUCUUGAGCAAAAGUGUGUUGGGGAAGCUACCUUCGGGAGAUAUAGCCCUAAUAUGGCGUGCUUGAGCAAGAUUGAGGAAAAUGAAAUCCGCACCUUCUUUUUAAAGACGCGGAUUCAAGACAUGAACGAAAUGCUCAAAAUCACCCCGUCUUGAAACACGGACCAAGGAGUGCAACGCAUGUGUGAGUCUUUGAGAAGAAAUACACUCAAAGGCGUAAGGAAACUAAACGAGGUGAGAUUUCAUUUGAAUGCACCAUCGACCAAUCCGAAGCUUUGGCAACAGAUUUGAGUAUGAACACAUGCGCUGCGACCCGAAAGAUGGUGAACUAUGCCCGAGUAGGGUGAAGUCAGGGGAAACCCUGAUGGAGGCUCGAAGCGGUUCUGACGUGCAAAUCGAUCGUCAAACUUGGGUAUAGGGGCGAAAGACUAAUCGAACCAUCUAGUAGCUGGUUCCUCC
rnacentral:misc_RNA from 1 species